rnacentral:rRNA from 1 species
CCAAGGCGACGAUCGGUAGCCGGACUGAGAGGUUGAACGGCCACAUUGGGACUGAGACACGGCCCAGACUCCUACGGGAGGCAGCAGUGGGGAAUAUUGCACAAUGGGGGAAACCCUGAUGCAGCGACGCCGCGUGGAGGAAGAAGGUCUUCGGAUUGUAAACUCCUGUUGUUGAGGAAGAUAAUGACGGUACUCAACAAGGAAGUGACGGCUAACUACGUGCCAGCAGCCGCGGUAAAACGUAGGUCACAAGCGUUGUCCGGAAUUACUGGGUGUAAAGGGAGCGCAGGCGGGAAGACAAGUUGGAAGUGAAAUCCAUGGGCUCAACCCAUGAACUGCUUUCAAAACUGUUUUUCUUGAGUAGUGCAGAGGUAGGCGGAAUUCCCGGUGUAGCGGUGGAAUGCGUAGAUAUCGGGAGGAACACCAGUGGCGAAGGCGGCCUACUGGGCACCAACUGACGCUGAGGCUCGAAAGUGUGGGUAGCAAACAGGAUUAGAUACCCUGGUAGUCCACACUGUAAACGAUGAAUAGGAGGUGUUGGAGGAUUGACCCCUUCAGUGCCGCAG